rnacentral:rRNA from 1 species
AGUCGAACGGUAAGAGCGGAGCUUGCGUCCGGCUGACGAGUGGCGCACGGGUGGGUAACGCGUAUACAAUCUACGUUGUACAGGGGUAUAGCCUUUAGAAAUGAAGAGUAAUCCCCCAUAAUAUCUUAUUAGUGGCAUCAGUUAAAAGAUUAAAGCUUCGGGUGGUAAGAGAUGAGUAUGCGUUCUAUUAGCUAGUAGGUGAGGUAACGGCUCACCUAGGCGACGAUAGAUAGGGGCCCUGAGAGGGGGAUCCCCCACGCUGGUACUGAGACACGGACCAGACUCCAUACGGGAGGCAGCAGUGAGGAAUAUUGGACAAUGGGCGCAAGCCUGAUCCAGCCAUGCCGCGUGCAGGAAGACUGCCCUAUGGGUUGUAAACUGCUUUUAUAUAGGAAGAAACCAUUCUACGUGUAGAGUGCUGACGGUACUAUAAGAAUAAGCAUCGGCUAACUCCGUGCCAGCAGCCGCGGUAAUACGGAGGAUGCAAGCGUUAUCCGGAAUCAUUGGGUUUAAAGGGUCCGUAGGUGGAUAGAUAAGUCAGAGGUGAAAUCCUGCAGCUCAACUGUAGAAUUGCCUUUGAAACUGUUUAUCUUGAAUUAUGGUGAAGUGGUUAGAAUAUGUAGUGUAGCGGUGAAAUUCAUAGAUAUUACAUAGAAUACCAAUUGCGAAGGCAGAUCACUAACCAUAUAUUGACACUGAUGGACGAAAGCGUGGGUAGCGAACGGGAUUAGAUACCCCGGUAGUCCCCGCCGUAAACGAUGGUCA